UACGGGGGGGGCAAGCGUUGUUCGGAAUUACUGGGCGUAAAGGGCUCGUAGGCGGCCAACUAAGUCAGACGUGAAAUCCCUCGGCUUAACCGGGGAACUGCAUCUGAUACUGGAUGGCUUGAGUUCAGGAGAGGGAUGCGGAAUUCCAGGUGUAGCGGUGAAAUGCGUAGAUAUCUGGAGGAACACCGGUGGCGAGGGCGGCAUCCUGGACCGACACUGACGCUGAGGAGCGAAAGCCAGGGGAGCAAACGGG
rnacentral:rRNA from 1 species